UACGUAGGGGGCGAGCGUUGUCCGGAUUUAUUGGGCGUAAAGAGCGUGUAGGCGGUUCGGUAAGUCUGUCGUGAAAUCCUGAGGCUCAACCUUGGACGUGCGAUGGAUACUGCCGGGCUAGAGGAUGGUAGAGGCGAGUGGAAUUCCCGGUGUAGCGGUGAAAUGCGCAGAUAUCGGGAGGAACACCAGUAGCGAAGGCGGCUCGCUGGGCCAUUCCUGACGCUGAUGCGCGAAAGCCAGGGGAGCGAACGGG
rnacentral:rRNA from 1 species